UGGCUCCAUAGUGCAGCGGUUAACACGCCCGCCUGUCACGUGGGUAGCACGGGUUCGAAUCCCGUUGGAGCCGU
rnacentral:tRNA from 10 species